CCUGAAGAUUCUAGGGUUACUUUGUAUUUAUAUUUAGCGUUGUAAAGCUAAAUUAGAUGACAAAGUAGUGAUGAAAUGUUAUUCAGAAGAGUUGAUAGCUGGUUAAAAAAGAAGUAUACAUACGUAUAGAAAAAGUUUUUUGUAAAAUUUAGUUUAAAUUUUGUAAAAAUUUUUUUUCAGAUUUGAGGGGUUAAGCUCUCAAGUGAAAUUAGUUUUAAUUUUUAAAAAAAGUUGGAUUUAAAUUGUCUUUCUUUUAAACUUUUAAUUUGAAGUAUUAUUAGUAGAUUUGUUGAUUUAGUAUUUUUUUGAUAAACAAAAUUUUGUUUAUAAAUUAGUAUAAAAUGAGUAUUUGUUAUUUAAUUUUUUUAAAAAAAAUAUUUUAAAUUUUUGUGUUUUAUAUUUUAAUAAUUACAAUAAAGGAAUUCGGCAAUAAUUUUUUCCGCCUGUUUACCAAAAACAUCGCUCUUUGUUUUAUAUAUAAGGAGUUGGACCUGCCCGGUGAUUGGUCAAAUUUUAAAAUUACUAUGUAAUUAAAAAUUUUUUUAAACGGCUGCAAUUAAUAAUUGUGCUAAGGUAGCGUAAUCAUUUGCCCCCUAAUUAGGGGAAGGUAUGAAUGGUUUGACGUGGGAAAAACUGUCUCUUUUGUAUACAAAAAAGUUUAUUUUUGAGUGAAAAAGCUUAAAUUUUUAUAAAAGACGAGAAGACCCUAUCGAACUUGAAUUAUUUGUUUAAUUUUUUAAAUAAAAAAAGUUUAGUUGGGGAAACUUAAAGUAAAAAGUAACGCUUUAUUUUUUUGUCAGGAUCCUGUAAUAUAGAAAAAUGAAAAAGUUACCGUAGGGAUAACAGCGCUUUCUUCUCUGAGAGGACUAAUUAAAGAGUUGGUUGCGACCUCGAUGUUGGAUUAAAUUUUCUUUUUGGGGCAGGGGUUAAAAUAGUAAGACUGUUCGUCUUUUAAAAAUUUACAUGAUCUGAGUUCAGACCGGCGUGAGCUAGGUCAGUUUCUAUCUUUAUGCGAAUUACCUUUGUACGAAAGGAUCGGGUAGUUGA
rnacentral:rRNA from 1 species